rnacentral:ribozyme from 14 species
AUACGGAAGACGAAAGUACGAAACAAAAAGUCAAAUCAAGUGAAGUCAAGUCUAUGGUAUAUAUAUGUUCGCUCACCUUUUUUCUCUUUCUCUUUCCUUUUUGCGUUCGUAUCUCUCAUUCUCGU